GAAAAUCAGUUUCUGCAUUAAAGAACAAGAAAUGCAGAGCAGAAAAUGCAGAAUGAAGAAGAAGAAGAAAGAAAGUUUUCAGGAAAAGAGAAUAAUAACUUGUUAUGUAAUUACACGUGUGGUAGCCAUGUCCUUAUAUAGUGUAUGGUUAUCUCUUAACUACCAAUCAAAAAUUAGCUAACAAACUGAAGCUAACUAAAAGAUAUUGUCCACACAA
rnacentral:lncRNA from 1 species